GAAUUUUGGGCAAUGGGGGCAACCCUGACCCAGCAACGCCGCGUGAGGGAUGAAGGCCUUCGGGUCGUAAACCUCUGUCAGGAGGGAAGAAGGUCCUUGGGAUGAACAGUCCCGAGGGAUUGACGGUACCUACGAAGGCAGCGCCGGCUAACUCCGUGCCAGAAGCCGCGGUAAUACGGAGGGCGCAAGCGUUGUUCGGAAUCAUUGGGCGUAAAGCGCGUGUAGGCGGUCUGGUCAGUCGGGUGUGAAAUACCGGAGCUCAACUCCGGAACGGCAUUCGAUACUGCCAGGCUAGAGUCCCGGAGAGGGUGGUGGAAUUCCCGGUGUAGAGGUGAAAUUCGUAGAUAUCGGGAGGAACACCAGCGGCGAAGGCGGCCACCUGGACGGUGACUGACGCUGAGACGCGAAAGCGUGGGGAGCAAACAGG
rnacentral:rRNA from 1 species